rnacentral:misc_RNA from 1 species
UUAAUAUUUAUUUUUGACUGAAGGUACUGCUACUGCAAAGGUUUUUGGUUGUCCUCGUGGCAGGCGAGCCUGCCGAGGAAACAAAGGGUACUCAUAAACAAAGGGUCCUACCUCUAUGUCGGCCGAAGCCUCCAUGGUAAUGAUCCUUCCGCAGGUUCACCUACGGAAA